GCAGGAGCCAGAGCUAGGGCCCUCAGAGGAGACAAAAAGUGCUCCAGCUGAUGACACCUCUGUCACUGAGGUGAUUCCAACGUGGGACAGGUGCCGUCGGGGGUCAGGAGCGGACCGGGGGUCAGGAGCGGACCGGGGGCCUGAGGGACACAGUGAAGGCAGCACUGCGGUGGGAGCCAAUGGGAGUGCUCACCCGGGCUCUGUGGGCGGAGAGACGGAGCACUGGGCCCUGAGUGGACUUGUCCCCCCUACAUCAGACCAGGAGACCCACAGCACCCCACACACUACUCUGGAGGGAGACGAAGCAAUUGGGAGUGUAAUGGAGAGAGAGAGGACAUCGGAGUCUAUCUCUGUGAUGGAGAGAGAGAGGACAAUUCGCUGCCUGGUUGAUCUGCAGAAGAAGAUGGAACAGAAACAGAACAGAGACAGAGAGAGACAACUGCUGAGGGUCCAGGAGCGACUGUCAAUCAUCCAGAACAGGAAAUCCCAGGAAGACCUGAUGGGCCUCAGGCAGACUGACAGACUCCAACACCUCACACACAACCUGCCCCUGGAGGACAAGAGCCAGAAGACGGUGGUCAGAGAGAGACUGGAGCAGAUGAAGAGGGAACGCUCCUAUGUCAUGCAGUCCAAACGAAACAGGUAACAGACACACGUAGGAGAUACAGGU
rnacentral:lncRNA from 1 species